CAGCUCUGAAUUAGUCAUGUAGAACAUAGUAAAUUAUUAUUAAACUGACAACAAAAUUUUUGGAGCCGCUAUUUCUAAAACUCCUGUUAUUCACCAAAAGUAAGUAAGGAUAACACAGUGGAAGCAAACAAAUGUUGUGGCUGAACAAGCAGUAACUGACAAUUAAAGCCUCAAGAGCUGACCCUUGUGCCUUCACCAGUAAAUUUAUGACACUCUAUGUAAGAGCCGCCUGUAUCAAGAUGCUUCCUUGAAUUACUUUUUAACAAAGUGUCAAAGCUUGUAGGCACUUAACAUGAUGGUUUCAAUGCAGUAGGCAUGCUAAUAGACUUCUGAUUACACUCACUGCAUCUAAUUGCUUUGUGGGUGAUUUGUUCAGGUUAAAUAAAGUUUGCUAUUGGUUCCAUAUGUAUGCAUAUGUCUGCUGUUUGUACCUGUUCUCACAUUUCAAUUGAAAAUGUUUACUCAUAAGAUCGUAGAUUUACAUACUUUUCAUUUUGAAUGUAUUUCUCUUUUAUAUCUCAAUCAUUCUAAAUUGAGAAAUGGCUCUGUCUAUCUACACUGAACAAAAUUGUAAACGCAACACUUUUGUUUCCCCCCAUUUUUCAUGAGCUGAAC